rnacentral:misc_RNA from 1 species
GAUGAAGAACGUAGCGAAAUGCGAUAAGUAAUGUGAAUUGCAGAAUUCAGUGAAUCAUCGAAUCUUUGAACGCACAUUGCGCCCGCCAGUAUUCUGGCGGGCAUGCCUGUCUGAGCGUCAUUGCAACCCUCAUGCCCCUAGGGCGUGGUGUUGGGGAUCGGCCAAAGCCCGCGAGGGACGGCCGGCCCCUAAAUCUAGUGGCGGACCCGUCGUGGCCUCCUCUGCGAAGUAGUGAUAUUCCGCAUCGGAGAGCGAUGAGCCCCUGCCGUUAAACCCCCAACUUUCCAAGGUUGACCUCAGAUCAGGUAGGAAUACCCGCUGAACUUAAGCAUAUCAAUAAGCGGAGGA